UGCUAUUCACGAUUAGUUUUGCAGGUUUGCAUUUCAGCGUAUAUAUGUAUAUAGGGCUGUGCAAAUCCAUGCAAAACUGAUUGUGAUGAUGU
rnacentral:pre_miRNA from 1 species